UGUCCGGCCACACUGGGACUGAGAUACGGCCCAGACUCCUACGGGAGGCAGCAGUGGGGAAUAUUGCACAAUGGGCGCAAGCCUGAUGCAGCGACGCCGCGUGGGGGAUGACGGCCUUCGGGUUGUAAACCUCUUUCACCAUCGCGAAGCCCAUGAUUUUUGUUGUGGGUGACGGUAGGUGGAGAAGAAGCACCGGCCAACUACGUGCCAGCAGCCGCGGUAAUACGUAGGGUGCGAGCGUUGUCCGGAAUUACUGGGCGUAAAGAGCUCGUAGGUGGUUUGUCGCGUUGUCCGUGAAAUUCCCUGGCUUAACUGGGGGCGUGCGGGCGAUACGGGCAGACUGGAGUACUGCAGGGGAGACUGGAAUUCCUGGUGUAGCGGUGGAAUGCGCAGAUAUCAGGAGGAACACCGGUGGCGAAGGCGGGUCUCUGGGCAGUAACUGACGCUGAGGAGCGAAAGCGUGGGGAGCGAACAGGAUUAGAUACCCUGGUAGUCCACGCCGUAAACGGUGGGUACUAGGUGUGGGUUUCCUUCCUUGGGAUCCGUGCCGUAGCUAACGCAUUAAGUACCCCGCCUGGGGAGUACGGCCGCAAGGCUAAAACUCAAAGGAAUUGACGGGGGCCCGCACAAGCGGCGGAGCAUGUGGAUUAAUUCGAUGCAACGCGAAGAGCCUUACCUGGGUUUGACAUGCACGGGACGCCGGUAGAGAUAUCGGUUCCCUUGUGGUCUGUGUGCAGGUGGCGCAUGGCUGUCGUCAGCUCGUGUCGUGAGAUGUUGGGUUANGUCCCGCAACGAGCGCAACCCUUGUCUCAUGUUGCCAGCGCGUAAUGGCGGGGACUCGUGUGAGACUGCCGGGGUCAACUCGGAGGAAGGCGGGGAUGACGUCAAGUCAUCAUGCCCCUUAUGUCCAGGGCUUCACACAUGCUACAAUGGCCGGUACAAAGGGCUGCGAUGCCGUGAGGCUUAGCGAAUCCUUGAAAGCCGGUCUCAGUUCGGAUCGGGGUCUGCAACUCGACCCCGUGAAGUCGGAGUCGCUAGUAAUCGCAGAUCAGA
rnacentral:rRNA from 1 species